CAUCUUUUGAUUGAAUUUCAGCUUUCAGUCUUCUGAAGAUCAUACCUGUCAUCAGUUACAGCAGAAGAUGUUGCCUGUUAUGUUAGAGUUAAUUGAACCUCCUUAUCCCUUCUUACCUUCUUGGUCCCUCAGGUUGGCCUAACAGCUGGCACCAAGGUCCAGGACGGAGCUCAGUGGAGGCAGGACCUUCUAUCUUGCUGCUCCUCAACUGUAGAAUAACCUAACCCUGAACAUCACAGAUGCUCCUUCACUGCCUACUUUUUAAACUCGUCUUAAAACCAGUUUUUAUUCUUGGCUCUCAGCAUCAGAGAAACUCAGUUUGACCUUUUUUGUUGUAAUUGGUUUUAUUUUGUUUAAUUUUCUAUCGUUCUAAUGUCACAUUUCUUUAUGACUUUUCUUUUAAUGAAUGUUUCUAGUUUGCAGCAGUUUGUUCCAGCUCGUUUUAAAGGCCUCUAUAAAUACAGCUGGUAUGAUGUGUUCAUCCAACCAUCAUCUAUACCGGCUUAUCCAUGCAGGCUGGGAGGGGGGUACAUACCUCCAUCAUUCAUUAGGUGAGAGGCAAGGUCCACCCUGGACAGGUCACCAGUCCAUUACAGGGCAACACAGGACAGACCACAUGCACACAUACUUUGAGACCAGUUAAACCAAUAUGGAGGUUUUUGAGCUGUGGGAGGAAGCUGGAAUAUCUGGACAGAACCCACGCCUUCACGGGGAGUACAUGCAAACUCCAUGUAGAAGGAGCCCAGGCUGGGAGAACUGUUGAGUUUGAUCUGAGACAGACAGAAACUACUUCUCUGCAUUGAGGUUUUGAUGGAGCUGAGGAUACGGUGGUACCAGGACCUCCUCUCUGUUUAGCCUACUGCUCAUGUUAAAGUGUUCACAGCAUCCUGAGUAGAAUCAAUGCUUCCUACAAUGCACACGUUUUAUUCAGUAGAUAACAUGGGACAGAGAGGUGAGGUGGAAACUGAUGAGGAGACUGAUUGGUCAGAAAGAAGGUGGGCAGACUCUCCUUUCUGGAGAUAAAACAUUAUUUAAUCUCUGCUCCGACUUAAUCUUGAUCUCUGCUGGUCAAUCCGUACUGACCUUAUGUCCAGCGCCUUGUUGCUGAAAAGCACUGUAUAAAUAAAUUUGACUUGACUACUGUACUUCAGAUUAAUGUUGACGUCAGCCAUUUUAUCAGAACCUGCUUUAACAUGAACCUUUAUCAAUAUAGGUCAAAUUAUGUCAAACAGCUGAAUGCUGCUUCUUAUCUCCUAAACCAACAUCCAUCUCUCUGCAGGUCCUCACACCCUUCUACUAUUAAAAGACAGUAUUUUUUUCCACCCUCACAGAAUCAAACCCACAACCUUUAUGCUGCACAGCCGCAGUGCUACCAACUGCUACAGCAUGCCGCCCUUCACCAGUUCUUUCCAACAACCCAUUGUCUAUACCAGCUUCUCUUUGCAGAAACACUGGGAAGCUGGUGCCACUGAUCUCCAGUAGUACAGUCUAUCUAAUAAACCAACAGCAAAGCUGAUCUGGUACCUUCCAUCCUUUAGAUAAAGCCACAGUGUGCAGAGAAGUUACAAAGGAUAAAAAUGAUCUUAGGCAUCAGUCAGAAGAAGUCCACAGCAUGGAACCUAGUAAGCAUAGCCAUUCCUGUUUAGAGAAAAUCUGGAAUAAAAAUAAGGUUUAACAAUUUUACUUUCUCUAGAAAAUGAUGAAAAAAAACAAAAAACAGAAACUAGUCAGAAAAGCUCCCAAGACUCUGACAUCAAUACUGAAGAAGCUACAGGAAGAUCCAAAGUUCUGGUUGGGUUCUACAAGUGACAACAGUCUGUUGUCUUCUUCACGUGUCUGAACUAAGGAGCAGAAUUGGAAGAUAGAAGUGUUUGGUUCUAGAGAAAACAUCCAGGCCUGCAUAACAUUUUUCAGAACCUUCAGACUUUAUUUUUUAACACCAAUGUGAGUCUAAGCAAACAUCAACAAAAAUGGAUUAAUGGAAGGAGAAUGGAGGUUCUGGAAUGGCCCAAAUUAUUUUUAGACAAACAGAUUUAUCUGUUAUUCAGGUGAAUUAUGUUGGAUGUCUGGGAAUAAUUAGAGCUAAGCUACUGAACGCCUCACUUCUGACUGGUCAGAUUCAGUUUAAAUACAGCUCAGAUUGUCAGUGUCAAUGAGAGGAAACUUGAAGGAACAUCAGCAGCGUUGGUUUUGUUUUUGAAGAUGAUUCUGGGUCAGAAGAAGCAGAGAACCUGUUAACCAGGAGGAAGAGGAGCUGAGAUGUUCAGGGAGGAGCUGAGAUGUUACUGAACUCUAGAAGAAACUCAAACUUCCUCAUUCAACACAGUUCAACACAUAAACAUCAACUCUGCUCAACAUGAACUAUUAUGGACUUUCUCUGCUCAUUGCUUCACUUCUAACAGGAGUCAGCUGUGAAGGACUCACUGCAGUCAAAGAUGAAGAGUUCAGGUCAGAAGGCAGCUCUGUUACUCUGUCCUACAGAUACUCCAACAAGAUAGCUGCUGGUGAUUAUUUCUUCUGGUAUCGACAAUAUCCUGGAAAACCUCCAGAGUUCCUGAUCUCUCACACUGGAACAGGAACCAAACUCCAGGAUCCAGUUCCUGGUUUCUCCUUUAAAGUGAGAGAUGAUAAAACCCAGAUGGACCUGCAGAUCAUCUCUGCUGCAGUGACAGAUUCUGCUGUGUACUACUGUGCUGUGAGGCCCACAGUGACAGGAAACACCAGAACUCUGUACAAGAACCUGCAGUACUCCACAUCAUCCACUAGAGGACCUCACACACUGUUAAACCACUGAUUGUUGAGUCUUUGGACUGAUGACAAAGACAACAGAGACAUGAAGCAGUAAAGAUCAGAGACAGAGCUGCUGUGGAAGCAGAAAACUCUGUGAUUGGUUGAGUUGAAGUGGCCCCGCCCACUGAACUUC